GUGUCAUGCAAGAAGGAGGCGGCGGCGGCGGCCGGAGCUGGAGGGGGAGGAGGGGAGGAACCUGAUCCUCGGUAGCGAAGGGCUGGAGGCAAACACCGAGCUCCCCCUGAGCCGCCUGGGAGCAGGGAGGGUUCUGCUACCCUGAGGGGCCCUCCCCGCGGGGCAGAGGGGACCAGCCCAACAUGGCUUCCAACACAGAGACCAGAAGGACCCAAUAAGAGACCGAAGACACGACUGAUAAUACAGAAAGGAGGGUGAUGCUGUGUGCAAGGCAGAUACAAGAUGGUUUUUCCAUAAGAGGAAGUGAUCAUGGCAACCAUGACCUUCUCUGACCUUCUCUCUUCCAAGAGGCUGUUGGGAAGGUGGGAUGACCUAGGAUUGACCUUGGACUUGACAUCACAGAAGCCAUUUCAACCUUCACAGGGUUUCCUCAGCAGUGCCCCGGAGCAGGGACCGCGCCAGCCAGCAGAAACAGCUAGUUGUUGUCUGCAGUGAAGAAUAAUUGGAAGCAUGGUGCCUGUUUCUUUUCCUGUGGGAGGAAGUCACAGCAUCUACUUCUGAAUCUGUGCUUGCCUUGAGGAAAAACGGCAUGGCACAGGAAUGUGGACGCUUUCAACCAGAGGAUUCUGUACGACGGUGUCGGCACACAAGGAGUGUUCCACUGACUGACCUCUUUUUGUUUUCAAAUGAAGAGGAGCCAAGAAUAGGACAGCUUGGGAAGCUCAUCCUCGUCUACGGCCAAACGUUGGUUUCUCAUUUCUAGAAGAUGAAAGAUGUGAUGACUCAGGAAAAACUGGAAUCUUAGUAACUGUGGUGGGCAUUGAGCCUUGCCGUCCACAAGAGAAAGCUUGCUGCUCGAGAUGUGAGUCUUCAGAUGUUCCUGCCGCCAUAUCUGACAGCUGCUGCCAAGAUUCCCUGGUGGGAUGGACUCUUAUACCUCAACAACCAGAAGCCCAAGUAAACUCUUCUAUAAAUUGAAUGACUCAUGCUUAAAAAAAAAAACAAAAAACAAA